GUCGGCGGCGCUGGUCGCUGACGGCGGGAGCAGCGACGGCGGUCGGUGCUGGAAGGAAGAACGGAGGAACGGGCUGAUCUGAGCGGCGCUGGCGCUAAUGUCGGCGCCGAUGGGGAAGGCAGCGCAGCUGCUUCUCUUCUUUUUUAUUUUUUUUUAGUUUUGGAGAGAGUGAUGGUAGAGAGAGGGAGAGAUCGUGGUCCGUUAGAGAAGGCGGCACCAGCGGCAUCGGCGAGAUCUAUUGAGAGAGAUAGUGAGAGUCUAGAGAGAAGGUCUAGAGAGAAGGAAGGCUAGAGAGAAGGUGACCUGAUUUUUCUUUUUUGGUUACUGUUCAUCCCCUUUUUUUGUGUAUGUGGGUAUGUAUAUAUUGUAUUUUUU
rnacentral:lncRNA from 1 species